CCGGUACCCACGUUCGGAUUGUAGGCUGCAACUCGCCUACAUGAAGUCGGAGUUGCUAGUAAUCGCGGAUCAGAAUGCUGCGGUGAAUACGUUCCCGGGCCUUGUACACACCGCCCGUCACACCAUGGGAGUCGGUAACACCCGAAGUCGGUAGCCUAACCGUAAGGAGGGCGCCGCCGAAGGUGGGAUUGAUGACUGGGGUGAAGUCGUAACAAGGUACC
rnacentral:rRNA from 1 species